rnacentral:rRNA from 1 species
GUAACGUUGGCGGCGUGGAUUAGCCAUGCAAUUUCAGAACGAGAAGCUAUUUUUUGACUCUUUCGGGUGAAGAAAAUAGUGGACAGUGGCGAAAGGGAGAGUAACGAGUAGAUACGUACCCAGGGGUUCAGGAUAGCGGGGGGAAACCGCCGGUAAUACUGAAUAAUGUCUCCGGACCAAAGAUUUAUUGCCCUUGGAGCGGUCUGCUUACUAUUAGCUUGUUGGUGGGGUAAAAGCCUACCAAGGCCAAGAUGGUUAGCGGGUGUGAGAGCAUGGCCCGUCUCACUGGGACUGAGACACUGCCAGACACCUACGGGUGGCUGCAGUCGAGAAUCUUCCGCAAUGGACGAAAGUCUGACGGAGCGACGCCGCGUGCGGGAUGAAGGCCUUCGGGUUGUAAACCGCUGUCAGAGGGGAGCAAAUUUUGAGCAAUCCUCAGAGGAAGCGCAGGCUAAGUUCGUGCCAGCAGCCGCGGUAAUACGAACUGCGCAAAACGUUAUUCGGAAUCACUGGGCUUAAAGGGUGCGUAGGCGGCUAUGUAGGUCAGGUGUGAAAUC